rnacentral:rRNA from 1 species
GAUGAACGCUGGCGGCGUGCCUAAUACAUGCAAGUCGAGCGAACAGACGAGGAGCUUGCUCCUCUGACGUUAGCGGCGGACGGGUGAGUAACACGUGGAUAACCUACCUAUAAGACUGGGAUAACUUCGGGAAACCGGAGCUAAUACCGGAUAAUAUAUUGAACCGCAUGGUUCAAUAGUGAAAGACGGUUUUGCUGUCACUUAUAGAUGGAUCCGCGCCGCAUUAGCUAGUUGGUAAGGUAACGGCUUACCAAGGCGACGAUGCGUAGCCGACCUGAGAGGGUGACCUGCCACCCUGGAACUGAGCCACGGUCCAGACUCCUACGGGUGGCAGCAGUAGGGAAUCUUCCGCCAUGGGCGAAAGCCUGACGGAGCAACGCCGCGUGAGUGAUGAAGGUCUUCGGAUCGUAAAACUCUGUUAUUAGGGAAGAACAAAUGUGUAAGUAACUAUGCACGUCUUGACGGUACCUAAUCAGAAAGCCACGGCUAACUACGUG